rnacentral:rRNA from 1 species
AGCGAACGCUGGCGGCAGGCCUAACACAUGCAAGUCGAACGAACUCUUCGGAGUUAGUGGCGGACGGGUGAGUAACACGUGGGAACGUGCCUUUAGGUUCGGAAUAACUCAGGGAAACUCGUGCUAAUACCGAAUGUGCCCUUCGGGGGAAAGAUUUAUCGCCUUUAGAGCGGCCCGCGUCUGAUUAGCUAGUUGGUGAGGUAAAGGCUCACCAAGGCGACGAUCAGUAGCUGGUCUGAGAGGAUGAUCAGCCACAUUGGGACUGAGACACGGCCCAAACUCCUACGGGAGGCAGCAGUGGGGAAUCUUGCGCAAUGGGCGAAAGCUUGACGCAGCCAUGCCGCGUGAAUGAUGAAGGUCUUAGGAUUGUAAAAUUCUUUCACCGGGGACGAUAAUGACGGUACCCGGAGAAGAAGCCCCGGCUAACUUCGUGCCAGCAGCCGCCGUAA